AAUGGGCGCAAGCCUGAUCCAGCCAUGCCGCGUGAGUGAUGAAGGCCUUCGGGUUGUAAAGCUCUUUUGGCGGGGACGAUGAUGACGGUACCCGCAGAAUAAGCCCCGGCAAACUUCGUGCCAGCAGCCGCGGUAAGACGAAGGGGGCAAGCGUUGUUCGGAAUUACUGGGCGUAAAGGGCGCGUAGGCGGUCCUUUUAGUCGGACGUGAAAGCCCUGGGCUCAACCUGGGAGGNGCGUUCGAUGCUGGGGGACUUGAGAGUGGGAGAGGUUGGUGGAAUUCCCAGUGUAGAGGUGAAAUUCGUAGAUAUUGGGAAGAACACCGGUGGCGUAGGCGGCCAACUGGACCAUUUCUGCCGCUGAGGCGCGAAAGCGUGGGGAGCAAA
rnacentral:rRNA from 1 species